GAUGAAGAUCGCAGCGAAAUGCGAUAGGUAGUGUGAAUUGCAGAUGUAACGUGAAUCAUCGAAUCUUUGAACGCAAAUUGCACUCUCUGGUAUUCCGGGGAGUAUGCCUGUUUGAGGGUCGCCAAAUCAAAAUCGAAAUUCAUUUGCUUUUUUGUAAAUGUUUAUCGGAUUUGAGCCGUCUUUUUUUAUUUUAAUUAAAGUGGCUUAAAAUGUAUUUUUUUGGUAUCGAAAUACGUUAUUUUACGAUCAAAUUGAUUAAAAAAACAAACGUUUUCGAAUGCCGCCUUUUUAAUGUAAUACGUUUGACUGUGAUGGUUAAUCAUAGUUUCAUUCGUAUACGAUUUUUUAAUUUUUGACCUCAAAUCAGGUAAGAACACCCGCUGAACUUAAGCAUAUCAAUAAGCGGAGGA
rnacentral:misc_RNA from 1 species